AGUGGAAGCGUCUGGAAAGGCGCGCGAUACAGGGUGACAGCCCCGUACACAAAAGCGCAUGUGCUGUGAGCUCGAUGAGUAGGGCGGGACACGUGGUAUCCUGUCUGAAUAUGGGGGGACCAUCCUCCAAGGCUAAAUACUCCUGACUGACCGAUAGUGAACCAGUACCGUGAGGGAAAGGCGAAAAGAACCCCGGCGAGGGGAGUGAAAAAGAACCUGAAACCGUGUACGUACAAGCAGUGGGAGCACAGGUUUACCUGUGUGACUGCGUACCUUUUGUAUAAUGGGUCAGCGACUUAUAUUCUGUAGCAAGGUUAACCGAAUAGGGGAGCCGGAGGGAAACCGAGUCUUAAUUGGGCGUUAAGUUGCAGGGUAUAGACCCGAAACCCGGUGAUCUAGCCAUGGGCAGGUUGAAGGUUGGGUAACACUAACUGGAGGACCGAACCGACUAAUGUUGAAAAAUUAGCGGAUGACCUGUGGCUGGGGGUGAAAGGCCAAUCAAACCGGGAGAUAGCUGGUUCUCCCCGAAAGCUAUUUAGGUAGCGCCUCGUGAAUUCAUCUCCGGGGGUAGAGCACUGUUUCGGCUAGGGGGCCAUCCCGGCUU
rnacentral:rRNA from 1 species